AAUUAAUACUAAGAAACAAUGAAUUUGAAUUCAAUGGACAAUUAUACAAACAAAUUAUAGGAGCGCCUAUGGGUGGUAUAUUUUCUCCGACAUGCACAGAUUUACAUCUGUCUGUACUAUUAAUAAAUAUUUUAGAUAAGUUCCAAUGGAGAGAAAACAUAAAAUUACACUGUCAAUACAGAGAUGACGGUUUUAUGGUCUUCACAGGCACAUUAAAACAGGUUGAAGAUUUCUUUAACAUAGCGAACA
rnacentral:lncRNA from 1 species